AGUGAUGGUAGAGGAGCAAAAACCAAUAGUAGGCAACCGGAAGAGAAGGAGCUCUUAUGACGGUGGCUGAAAGGGGAUUUUUGCCGAAGCUUUAGGAAACUUCCUUUUUCUUAAGGCUGGACCUGCAUUGAAUAAAUGCAGGGCUGUCACACAUUCCUUGCCCGGAGGAUGUGUGGAGGACUAUCUCACAU
rnacentral:ncRNA from 2 species